GAUGAACGCUGGCGGCGUGCUUAACACAUGCAAGUCGAACGGUGAACACGGAGCUUGCUCUGUGGGAUCAGUGGCGAACGGGUGAGUAACACGUGAGCAACCUGCCCCUGACUCUGGGAUAAGCGCUGGAAACGGCGUCUAAUACUGGAUAUGUGACGUGACCGCAUGGUCUGCGUUUGGAAAGAUUUUUCGGUUGGGGAUGGGCUCGCGGCCUAUCAGCUUGUUGGUGAGGUAAUGGCUCACCAAGGCGUCGACGGGUAGCCGGCCUGAGAGGGUGACCGGCCACACUGGGAUUGCGACACGGCCCAGACUCCUACGGGGGGCAGCAGUGGGGAAUCUUGCCCAAUGGGCGCACGCCUGAUGCAGCAACGCCGCGUGUGGGAUGACCGCCUUCGGGUUGUAAACCUUUUUUAGCAGGGAAGAAGCGAAAGUGACGGUACCUGCAGAAAAAGCGCCGGCUAACUACGUG
rnacentral:rRNA from 1 species